UUACGGUCAAAUCACGCUGAAAACACGGGUUCUCGUUCGAUCACCGAAGUUAAGCAUCGUAGAGCCAGGUCAGUACUUAGAUGGGGGACCGCUUGGGAACACCUGGUACUGUAAG